rnacentral:lncRNA from 1 species
AAAAUGUCACUUUUUCCCGAGAGCACCCGUUUUUCACUCGCCUCGAGUUCGCCUUGAACUCGCCAUGGCGAGAUAGGAAUUUUGUGAACUCGCCAUGGCGAGCAGAUGUGCUCGCGAGGCGAGCUAGUGCAGUUUGAGUGCAGUUUUGCUUGCUUGAUUAAUGAGGUUUGAGUGUUGUUGUUUAAGCAUAAUCGUAUUUAAUUGUGCAUCAUUAUGAAUGGUUGAAUCUCUGUUGGAUGUUGAUUGAUGAUGAGGAAUGUAUUGUAUGUUUUAAAUAUUAAUCAUACAUGUUGUUUUAAUUGGAGUCACAUGGAGUUGCAUUGCAUGGUCAGUUGUAUGUAGAUAUACACAAGUAGGUCCAUUGCAUAUGCAUAAAACAGCGGUGAGGGCUUCGGUCCUGGAGUACUAGUUACUCAACAGCGGUGAGGGCUUCGGUCCUGAUGAAUGCUUUAACCAUUCAAAAGCGGUGAGGGCCUCGGUCCUGAUUGGUACCACAUGCAUAAUUGCAUUUCAUUAAGAAGUCUAAGAUGGUGUCUUAGCAGUGGUCAUGUCAUUUGCAUGGGUCUCGGUUGUUAUUUCAGUUAUUACCUGGUUGAUGUUGAUGUUGGAUAUACAUUCAUAUAUAUAUGUAUUCAUUGUGGUUUUGGUGUAUUGUUGAUGUUGUUGAAGUUAUGUACAUUGUAUACAUACCUGUUAAAUGGAUGAUUAUGAUGAUGUUGCUGUGUCUUGUGAAUAGUUAUGAAUAUUACAAAAUGUUAUAUUUGAAGUUAUAGGGUGUUAGAUUCAUUUGAAGAUUUAAUAUCUAUAUUGUUGUUGUGAAUCUCACCCCUUCUGCUUGAAAACGUUGCCCUUCCUAUGGGUAACUUGCAGGUGAUCCUGAGUAGUUGGUGGUGGCUCAUUGUCGUGUCUAGGGCUCUGAUACGUGGGAUGGGAAUAUUGAUUAUCUUUGUUGUUGUUGCUUUUCCUUUCCAUGUAUCAAAUUUUGGAACUUGUGGUGUGGAGCCUUUUGUUGUCUUUGAACUAUGAUGUUGGAUUAUGUUAAGGCCUUUAAUGCCAUAGACUUUUGUUGGAUGUUCAUGAUGAGAUGGAUUUUGAAAACUAUUCCGCUGCUAUGUUUUCAUUUAUAAUAAGUUGAUUCGAUUUAAAUAGUUUUAUUUUCUAUUUAAGAAUUUUGAAAUGACGUGUAGCAUGCCCGUUGCGGGAUUACUCUGAUGUUUAUAUGCUAUUUAAUUGCUUUUGGGUAACGGGGUGUUACAAUUUGGUAUCAGAGCAGGUUGGUCCGUCCGGCCAAGUAGUAGAGUCUUGUUGAGCCACCUAGGAUAGAGUGUCAACUUUAAUGUUGCUUUUUGUUGUUGUCUUGUUGUUUGUUUGUUGUGUCUUGGUAUGAACUGGUUGGAGAAUAAUCAUGUUCAUAUCAAUUGGUUUAGUAAGACGGUGUACUUUACUUCUGCCGGAGAAGAGAGUAAAGCUGAGUUUGUGACUACGAAGCAGUUGUAGGAGUUGUUGAAUGAAGGUACUUCAGUGGUUGCUUUGACGACGUCUUUGUCGGUAGAAAAUCAAGCUGUGAUUGAUGGUUUACCUGUAGUGAAUGAAUUUCCAGAAGUAUUCCCUGAUGAGAUUCCUGAUGUGCCACCAGAGAGGGAGGUUGAAUUUUCAAUUGAUCUUGUUCCAGGAACUAAGCCGGUGUCGAUGGCACCGUACCGUAUGUCAGCUUCUGAGUUGGCUGAGUUGAAGAAACAGUUGGAGGACCUGUUAGAUAAGAAGUUUGUAAGACCCAGUGUUUCACCUUGGGGAGCACCGGUGUUGUUGGUCAAGAAGAAGGAUGGUAGUAUGAGACUGUGUAUAGAUUACCGUCAGUUGAACAAAGUUACGAUCAAGAACAGGUAUCCGCUUCCUAGAAUUGACGACUUGAUGGAUCAAUUGGUUGGUGCUAAGAUUUUUAGUAAGAUUGAUUUGAGGUCUGGUUAUCAUCAGAUAAAGGUGAAGGAUGAGGAUAUGCAGAAGACGGCCUUUAGGACACGUUAUGGUCAUUACGAGUACAAAGUGAUGCCUUUCGGUGUUACUAAUGCGCCUGGUGUUUUUAUGGAAUACAUGAAUCGAAUUUUCCAUGCCUUUCUGGAUAAGUUUGUUGUGGUAUUUAUUGAUGAUAUUCUAAUCUAUUCCAAGAAUGAGGAGGAACACGCAGAGCAUCUGAGAAUAGUGUUGCAAGUGUUGAAGGAAAAGAGGUUGUAUGCUAAGUUAUCAAAAUGUGAGUUCUGGUUAAAUGAAGUAAGUUUUCUGGGUCACAUUAUUUAUGGUAGUGGUAUUGCAGUGGAUCCUUCAAAGGUUGAUGCGGUAUCACAAUGGGAGACUCCGAAGUCGGUAACUGAGAUCAGAAGUUUUCUGGGUUUGGAUGGUUAUUACUGCAGGUUCAUAGAAGGGUUUUCGAAGUUGGCUCUUCCGUUGACACAGUUGACCUGUAAGGGUAAGUCUUUUGUGUGGGAUGCCCAGUGUGAGAGUAGUUUCAAUGAGUUGAAGCGAAGAUUGACAACUGCUCCUGUUUUGAUUUUGCCUAAACCAGAAGAACCGUUUGUUGUAUACUGUGAUGCAUCUAAGCUGGGCUUAGGUGGUGUUUUGAUGCAAGAUGGUAAGGUGGUAGCAUAUGCUUCUAGGCAGUUACGUGUUCAUGAGAAGAAUUAUCCUACACAUGACCUGGAGUUAGCUGCGGUGGUUUUUGUUUUGAAAAUUUGGAGGCAUUAUUUGUACGGAUCCAGAUUUGAGGUGUUCAGUGAUCAUAAAAGUUUGAAGUAUUUGUUUGACCAGAAGGAACUGAACAUGAGGCAGAGGAGGUGGUUAGAGUUAUUGAAGGAUUUUGAUUUUGGCUUGAAUUACCAUCCUGGUAAGGCCAAUGUGGUUGCUGACGCUUUAAGUAGGAAAACUUUGCACGUGUCUGCUUUGAUGGUGAAGGAGUUUGAAUUGUUAGAACAGUUCAGAGACAUGAGUCUUGUCUGUGAAUUGUCACCCCAGAGUAUACAGUUGGGAAUGUUGAAAAUUGAUAGUAACUUCUUAAACAGUAUCCGAGAAGCUCAGAAAGAGGAUUUGAAGUUUGUUGAUUUGAUGACUUCUGGUAAUGACACUGAGGAUAGUGAUUUCAAAGUUGAUGAUCAGGGUGUACUGAGGUUCAGAGGUAGAGUUUGUAUUCCUGACAACGAAGAGUUGAAGAAAUUGAUUCUUGAGGAGAGUCACAAGAGUAGGUUGAGUAUUCACCCAGGAGCUACGAAAAUGUACCAUGAUUUGAAGAAACUGUUUUGGUGGUCCGGUAUGAAAAGGGAUGUUGCUCAGUUUGUUUAUGCCUGUUUGGUUUGUCAGAAGUCCAAGGUUGAGCAUCAGAAGCCUGCAGGGUUGUUGACACCGUUAGAUGUACCAGAGUGGAAGUGGGACAUUAUCUCUAUGGAUUUUGUAACGAGUUUACCGAACACUCCGAGAGGGCAUGACGCUAUUUGGGUUGUUGUCGACCGGUUGACAAAGUCGGCACAUUUCAUUCCUAUUAAUAUCAGUUAUCCGGUAGCGCAGUUAGCAGAGAUUUAUAUUCACAGUGUGGUGAAGCUUCAUGGUGUUCCGUGUAACACCCCGUUUUCCCAACAUAAAAAUUCUUAAAAACAUUUAUCAGAGUAAGCAUCAUAAACAACGGGAUAUCACAUAAAACUUAAUCCAAAACAGUCAAAUAAUAAUUUAACCAAUAUCUUAAACAUUGCAGCGGAAAUUCAUAAAACGUUUUGGCACGCAGGCCCCAUCAAAAGUUCAUAAUCAUAAUCCAUAACAUUAUAAAAAUAACAUAUUAGUCACGUAAGAGAAUGAAGCAUGCAUAAACAUAAACCCCAUCCCGUUACGUAUCAGAGCGACCUAGACGACACAGUGAAGGCAAGGCCACUCACGACGGCAACUGCACACUAAGCACGAUCACCUGCAAGUUACCCAUACGAAGGGCAACAUUUUCAAGCAGAAGGGGUGAGAUUUCAUAAUACAAUAACAUUAAUCAAUGUAAUUGAGAAUCAUAAAUUAACAUCAUAUUCAUUCCAUUACUAACUUUGCAUAAUUGCUAAACAGUUAUCACGUAAUCAUAUAUCCAAUCAUUAGGAAUAACAUAUCAUAAUCAAUAAACACAUAUCACGUAAUCACAUAAUCAAUCAUCAUCAACAAGGCAUCUUAAUCAUGACACUGUGACAAUGCUCUUAGACUCCUUAUAUGCAUGUGGUACCAAUCGUCAUCAUAAGUAUUAAUAUACUUUAAUCGUGCGGAGGACAAAGCUCCUAUAAAACGUGCGGAGGACAAAGCUCCUAAUAUUCGUGGUGAGGACUAAGCUCAAUGAUAUGCUAUGCAUGGACACUUAUGAACAAAACACGUAAUCAUCGUAAUCAACAUGCAUCCAAUAAUUUGGAGCUAAACCUUAUCAUAUACAUAUGCACUUAGUUAAAUAACAGAAGCAGCAUAAACAAGUCACACAGCAAGAUGAUAUCAUUAUAUCAAUAGCACAUAAAUUGCAUUAUUAUCAAACCUUCGUAUCUUGCAUGAAUAUACAAUACAUUAGAUCAUACUCAAUUAAUAUCAAUAUAGUCUUAAACAACUCUACAGGCUGCAUUAAACGUCAUCACUAGGUCUCAAUACCAAUUAGGGGUUCACUCUUGAUCAACACAUGCGACACAGAUCGCACAAACACUCAAGCAACUACAUUCUGGUUGUACUCGCGAGGCGAGAGUACUUACUCGCCAUGGCGAGUAACACUGAUUCUCCCAAACUGAUGUUGUUCUGGGUUCAAUCCUGUCCUAAAAUCAUUCCUAAUCAAUACUAGGUAUGUUAUGGUACUCAAAGGCAUACAAGGUUCAACUAAAAAGGUCGAAACACGAAAUAUGACAUGCUCUCUGCCUAAGCUCGCGAGGCGAGGAAAGGUUGCUCGCCAUGGCGAGUUGCACCAGACAACUCGCGAGGUGAAGGGGAAAGGCUCGCGUGGCGAGCGAUGAAUCUUCAUCACUCGCGGGGCGAGGAUCAUAGCUCGCCGUGGCGAGCGAUGAAUGUCGCUACGGCCAGGCUUCCUAAAAUCACAAAAAUCCGACGUUUCACAUGGUUCUAAGCUUGGUUUUGAUUCCAGAAUUCAUCCUAAACAUAUUCUAAGGUUACAGGACAAUUCUUACAUCAAUCUAAACAAGUUUUACCGUUUAUUCUCAAAUUCUAGGGUUUUGACCUAAUUCCAAAACUUCUCUGAAUCAAUCCUAACUUGUCAACUAAUCAUCAGAAUUACAGAGGUUAAUGCUACUGAGUUAUUAGUCCCACCCUUACCUGGUUAUGAAGAAAAUCGCAGCCCUCUUGGUCUCUUGCUCCUCUCUAAGCUUUUUCUCCCUUUUCCAAAAGUUUUCACGUACAAUCAGUUUUUCUAACAAUUAGGUCUUCCCUAUUUAUAUCUCUUCCUAAUUACUUAUCUUAUCUCAAUUUCUCCCCCAAAACUAUCUAAAAUAUCAAAACAGCCCUCAACUAAAUAUUUUAUAUUAUUUUCAAAUCUUUAUUCUAUUUAUCAAUAAAAUAAAUCUCAUAUCAUAAUCAAAUCCUCCAAAACUCAUAACUUAUCACGUCAUCAAUCAUAUCAUCAAAACAUAUCAAAAUCAUGCAUAUAUUAUAUAAUUAUAAUAUAAUUGCCUAAACUCGAUUAAAUAACUAUUAAACGAAAGUGGGCGUUACAUUCCGUCUAGCAUUGUGUCGGAUAGAGAUCCGAGGUUCACUUCUAGGUUCUGGAAAAUUUUACAGGACGCCUUGGGUUCGAAGUUGAAGUUGAGUUCGGCUUAUCAUCCUCAAACAGAUGGUCAGUCGGAGAGGACAAUUCAAUCAUUGGAAGAUUUGUUGAGAGUGUGUGUGCUUGAGCAAGGUGGAGCUUGGGAUAGUCACUUGCCUUUGAUUGAGUUUACUUAUAACAACAGCUAUCACUCGAGUAUUGGUAUGGCACUGUUCGAAGCCUUGUAUGGUCGGAGGUGCAGGACUCCUUUAUGCUGGUUUGAGUCGGGUGAAAGUGUUGUGUUGGGACCGGAUUUGGUACAUGAGACUACUGAGAAAGUAAGGUUGAUAAGAGAAAAGAUGAAAGCUUCGCAGAGUCGACAGAACAGUUACCAUGACAAGCGAAGAAAGGAUCUUGAGUUUCAGGAGGGUGAUCAUGUUUUUUCUGAGGGUCACUCCUUUGACGGGUGUUGGACGUGCUUUGAAGUCGAGGAAGUUGACUCCUAAGUUUAUUGGUCCGUAUCAGAUUUCUGAGAGAGUUGGUACUGUGGCAUAUAGAGUUGGUUUGCCACCACAUCUUUCGAACUUGCACGAUGUGUUUCAUGUUUCUCAGCUUCGGAAGUAUGUUGCGGAUCCUUCUCAUGUGAUUCCGAGGGAUGAUGAUGUACAGGUUAGAGACAACCUGACAGUUGAGACUAUGCCAUUGAGGAUUGAUGACAGGAAGGUGAAGUCCUUGAGAGGUAAAGAAAUACCUCUUGUGAGAGUCGUUUGGGGUGGAGCGACUGGUGAAAGUUUGACUUGGGAGCUGGAGAGUAAGAUGCGGGAGUCGUAUCCGGAGUUGCUUGCUUGAGGUAAGAUUUCAAGGACGAAAUUCUGUAAUUUGGGGAGAGUUGUAACGCCCUAGUUAUUUAAUUAAUUAUUUUAUUAUGAGGAGUAUAUAUAUAUAUAUAUAUAUAUAUAUAUAUAUAUAUUAUUAUAUAUGAUGUUUGGUGAUUUAUGUGGAGUAUAUGCAUAUAUUUAUUCAUAUGUGAUUUUUGGAUGUUCUAUGUGGUACAUUAUUUUACUAUAUGGUUUAGUUAAUAAUAAUUAAAAUAAGUAUGAAAUAUUAGUUAUUUUGGAGUUUGGAGAGUUAUUUAAUAAUUAUUAAAAUUCAUGGGGAGCUAAUAGAAAUAUUAGGGAGUUAAGUAAUGGGAAGUUAGGAAAAGAGAAGUUAGAAGCUUUGUACGUGAAAACUGUCAAGUUGGGAGAAAGGGAGAGAAGAGCAAGUAUAACCCAGAGAAUUCAAUUGCUGUGCAUUUCUUCUGCAAUUUUAAGGUAAGGGUGGGAUUUACUUCAAGUAUGUAGUUAUUGAAUUCUGAUUUUGUGUUUAACAGAGUGUUGGUGAGAAUUUGGGAAAUUGAGUUUUUAUGAUAAAAUGAUGAUUUUGAAGUUGUAAGCAUGAUUUUGGGGUUAGAAUUAGGUUCUGGUUGCAUAGAACACUUAAUUAUGUAUCUGUAAACUGAUUUGGGGAGUGAUUGGAAGAAAAAUGGGAUUUUGGGGAAAAACCAGUUUUCUGCCCGUACUGAUGUUCAUUGCUCGCCUCGCGAGCAUUCAUGUCUCGCCUCGCGAGUGAACAACAUCAUUACUCGCCUCGCGAGCAAUCCAACUCGCCAUGGCGAGUAGCCCAGAAUAAAACUUGAUUUUUGAAAAGUUGUUAUAAGAUGUUUUGGGGAUGGUUUAAGGUACCUAGAUGAUUUUAAUGAUGAAUGGUGGAAGUUUUAGGUUAAAAAGAUGAAUAGGGAACUUAGAAAUGGAGUUUGAGUGAGAAAAUGUCACUUUUUCCCGAGAGCACCCGUUUUUCACUCGCCUCGAGUUCGCCUUGAACUCGCCAUGGCGAGAUAGGAAUUUUGUGAACUCGCCAUGGCGAGCAGAUGUGCUCGCGAGGCGAGCUAGUGCAGUUUGAGUGCAGUUUUGCUUGCUUGAUUAAUGAGGUUUGAGUGUUGUUGUUUAAGCAUAAUCGUAUUUAAUUGUGCAUCAUUCUGAAUGGUUGAAUCUCUGUUGGAUGUUGAUUGAUGAUGAGGAAUGUAUUGUAUGUUUUAAAUAUUAAUCAUACAUGUUGUUUUAAUUGGAGUCACAUGGAGUUGCAUUGCAUGGUCAGUUGUAUGUAGAUAUACACAAGUAGGUCCAUUGCAUAUGCAUAAAACAGCGGUGAGGGCUUCGGUCCUGGAGUACUAGUUACUCAACAGCGGUGAGGGCUUCGGUCCUGAUGAAUGCUUUAACCAUUCAAAAGCGGUGAGGGCCUCGGUCCUGAUUGGUACCACAUGCAUAAUUGCAUUUCAUUAAGAAGUCUAAGAUGGUGUCUUAGCAGUGGUCAUGUCAUUUGCAUG